rnacentral:rRNA from 1 species
UACGAAGGGGGCUAGCGUUGCUCGGAAUCACUGGGCGUAAAGCGCACGUAGGCGGAUUGCUAAGUCAGGGGUGAAAUCCUGGAGCUCAACUCCAGAACUGCCUUUGAUACUGGCGAUCUUGAGUCCGGGAGAGGUGAGUGGAACUGCGAGUGUAGAGGUGAAAUUCGUAGAUAUUCGCAAGAACACCAGUGGCGAAGGCGGCCUUCUGGACCAAUACUGACGCUCAUGCACGAAAGCGUGGGGAGCAAACAGG